rnacentral:rRNA from 1 species
GAUGAACGCUGGCGGCGUGCCUAAUACAUGCAAGUAGAACGCUGAAGGAAGGAGCUUGCUCUUUCCGGAUGAGUUGCGAACGGGUGAGUAACGCGUAGGUAACCUGCCUGGUAGCGGGUGAUAACUAUUGGAAACGAUAGCUAAUACCUCAUAACAGUAGAUGUUGCAUGAUAUCUACUUAAAAGGUGCAAUUGCACCACUACCAGAUGGACCUGCGUUGUAUUAGCUAGUUGGUGAGGUAACGGCUCACCAAGGCGACGAUACAUAGCCGACCUGAGAGGGUGAUCGGCCAAACUGGGAAUGAGACACGGCCCAGAAUCCUACGGGAGGCAGCAGGAGGGAAGCUUAGGCAAUGGACGGAAGGCUGAACGAGCAACGCCGCGGGAGGGAAGAAGGUUUUCGGAUCGUAAAGCUCGGUUGUAAGAGAAGAACGAGUGUGAGAGUGGAAAGUUCACACUGUGACGGUAUCUUAACAGAAAGGGACGGCUAACUACGUG